rnacentral:rRNA from 1 species
UACGGGGGGGGCAAGCGUUGUUCGGAAUUACUGGGUUUAAAGGGUGCGUAGGCGGACUUAUAAGUCAGUGGUGAAAUCCCGCAGCUCAACUGCGGAACUGCCAUUGAAACUAUUUGUCUUGAGUACAUUUGAGGCGGGCGGAAUGUGUCAUGUAGAGGUGAAAUUCUUAGAUAUGACACAGAACACCAAUUGCGAAGGCAGCUCGCUAAACUGUAACUGACGCUGAGGCACGAAAGCGUGGGGAUCAAACAGG